CCUACGGGAGGCAGCAGUGAGGAAUAUUGGUCAAUGGACGAGAGUCUGAACCAGCCAAGUAGCGUGAAGGAUGACUGCCCUAUGGGUUGUAAACUUCUUUUAUAUGGGAAUAAAACGUUCCACGUGUGGGAUUUUGUAUGUACCAUAUGAAUAAGGAUCGUCUAACUCCGUGCCAGCAGCCGCGGUAAUACGGAGGAUCCGAGCGUUAUCCGGAUUUAUUGGGUUUAAAGGGAGCGUAGGUGGAUUGUUAAGUCAGUUGUGAAAGUUUGCGGCUCAACCGUAAAAUUGCAGUUGAAACUGGCAGUCUUGAGUACAGUAGAGGUGGGCGGAAUUCGUGGUGUAGCGGUGAAAUGCUUAGAUAUCACGAAGAACUCCGAUUGCGAAGGCAGCUUACUGGACUGCAACUGACACUGAGGCUCGAAAGUGUGGGUAUCAAACAGGAUUAGAUACCCUGGUAGUC
rnacentral:rRNA from 1 species